AUACACUGUAACAAUGAUCUGUAUAGCAUUUACAUUGUGUCAGGUAUUAUAAGUAAUUUAGAGAUGAUUUAAAGUAUACAAGAGGAUAUACAUAGGUUAUAUGCAAAUACUAUAAUAUUUUAUAUAACCUGGGCAUGCUGUGAAGUCAUUUCUCUUGAGUCUUCUGACAGCCUUAGCAGGAAGCCUGAGUAGGUUCUCGUCCUUUCUCCUUUUUCCUCUAAUCAAGUCAGGAAUCCCUUUUUUAACUGGAAAAGCUUUUCUUCAUUAUAUUUCUGAUCAAAACAUUUUUUUCUAUAUCCUGAUCCUCACUCUUUUUGUCUCUGUCGAUUUCCAAUAGUUAUUGAUAAUGUAACAAUUUCCUUCUUUCUAAUGGUAUUGGUGCCACAGCUCUCAGCACAUGGUUACCAGUAUACCCCCAAAAAGACAUUUCUUAUAUUCACCAAAACAAUAUGCAUAUCCAGCUUAAUCUAAUCCACAAAACCUUGGAAGUUUAUCCCUUGCACACUAUUGUGAGUGCACUGCAUGUUUUUCAAACUUUAUCGAACAGGCCUGGGUUGGGGGAAUUGAAAAACCUGAGGAUCAGUAAGACUAGUGACUUAUCCAAAGUCACACAGCUCCUAAACAAUAGAAGCAAUAUUUAAAGCCAGACCUUUCUGGCUUUGAAGACUUUUUGCUGUCUCUCAUAUACCACACUGCAUCUGUGUUACAGAAUGCCCGUGAACAUACAUAUGGAUACUCCCUCAGGCUUGGGGUUGAUGGGAUAAAAAGAGAAACAGAAGAAAUUGAAUGAAAGAAGAGAAAUAAUGGAGGGAGAAAGGUAGAAAAUGCAG
rnacentral:lncRNA from 1 species